rnacentral:rRNA from 1 species
CAAUACACCGCUGGCGACCGGCGCACGGGUGAGUAACACGUAUCCAACCUGCCCUUUACUCGGGGAUAGCCUUUCGAAAGAAAGAUUAAUACCCGAUGGUAUAACAUGACCUCCUGGUUUUGUUAUUAAAGAAUUUCGGUAGAGGAUGGGGAUGCGUUCCAUUAGGCAGUUGGCGGGGUAACGGCCCACCAAGACAUCGAUGGAUAGGGGUUCUGAGAGGAAGGUCCCCCACAUUGGAACUGAGACACGGUCCAA